CCUACGGGGGACAGCAGUGGGGAAUAUUGCGCAAUGGGCGAAAGCCUGACGCAGCGACGCCGCGUGAGGGAUGAAGGUCUUCGGAUCGUAAACCUCUGUCAGCAGGGAAGAACGGUCACUGUGCUAAGCAGCAGUGAAUUGACGGUACCUGCAAAGGAAGCACCGGCUAACUCCGUGCCAGCAGCCGCUGUAAUACGGAGGGUGCGAGCGUUAAUCGGAAUUACUGGGCGUAAAGCGCGCGUAGGCGGUAUGUCAAGUCAAGGGUGAAAUCCCCGCGCUCAACGUUGGAACUGCCUUUGAAACUGGCAAACUGGAGUGUGUGAGAGGCUAGUGGAAUUCCAGGUGU
rnacentral:rRNA from 1 species